rnacentral:rRNA from 1 species
GAAUUCGCCCUUAGAGUUUGAUCCUGGCUCAGGACGAGCGCUGGCGGCGUGCCUAACACAUGCAAGUCGAACGAAGCAUUUGGAUCUGAUCUCUUCGGAGUGACGAACCUUAUGACUUAGUGGCGGACGGGUGAGUAACACGUGAGCAACCUGCCUCUCAGAGUGGAAUAACAGUUGGAAACGGCUGCUAAUACCGCAUAACGUCAUAGUACCGCAUGAUACCUUGACCAAAGAUUUAUCGCUGAGAGAUGGGCUCGCGUCCGAUUAGGUAGAUGGUGGGGUAACGGCCUACCAUGCCGACGAUCGGUAGCCGGACUGAGAGGUUGAUCGGCCACAUUGGGACUGAGAUACGGCCCAGACUCCUACGGGAGGCAGCAGUGGGGAAUAUUGGGCAAUGGGCGCAAGCCUGACCCAGCAAUGCCGCGUGAAGGAAGAAGGCUUUCGGGUUGUAAACUUCUUUUGUCAGGGACGAGCAGAAGACGGUACCUGACGAAUAAGCCACGGCUAACUACGUGCCAGCAGCCGCGGUAAUACGUAGGUGGCAAGCGUUGUCCGGAUUUACUGGGUGUAAAGGGCGUGUAGCCGGGUCGGCAAGUCAGAUGUGAAAUCUAUGGGCUCAACUCAUAAACUGCAUUUGAAACUGUUGAUCUUGAGUAUCGGAGAGGCAAUCGGAAUUCCUAGUGUAGCGGUGAAAUGCGUAGAUAUUAGGAGGAACACCAGUGGCGAAGGCGGAUUGCUGGACGACAACUGACGGUGAGGCGCGAAAGCGUGGGGAGCAAACAGGAUUAGAUACCCUGGUAGUCCACGCUGUAAACGAUGAAUACUAGGUGUGCGGGGACUGACCCCCUGCGUGCCGCAGCUAACGCAAUAAGUAUUCCACCUGGGGAGUACGAUCGCAAGGUUGAAACUCAAAGGAAUUGACGGGGGCCCGCACAAGCGGUGGAUUAUGUGGUUUAAUUCGAAGCAACGCGAAAAACCUUACCAAGGAUUGACAUCCUAGGAACCCGGCGUAAUGGCUGGGGUGCCCCUUCGGGGGAAUCUAGAGACAGGUGGUGCAUGGUUGUCGUCAGCUCGUGUCGUGAGAUGUUGGGUUAAGUCCCGCAACGAGCGCAACCCUUACUGUUAGUUGCUACGCAAGAGCACUCUGGCAGGACUGCCGUUGACAAAACGGAGGAAGGUGGGGACGACGUCAAAUCAUCAUGCCCCUUAUAUCUUGGGCUACACACGUACUACAAUGGCGCAAACAAAGGGAAGCGACCCCGCGAGGGUGAGCAAAUCCCAUAAAAGGCGUCCCAGUUCGGACUGCAGGCUGCAACUCGCCUGCACGAAGUUGGAAUUGCUAGUAAUCGCGAAUCAGCAUGUCGCGGUGAAUACGUUCCCGGGCUUUGUACUCACCGCCCGUCA